AUGUCCAUAGAAUUCUGAAACUCAACUAAGGGUCAGAACCAGGACUAAACUCCAGGUCUCAAUUGCAAAGUCCAUUUACAUCAGUUUUUUCUUUUAAAAGACUAGGUGCUAGGAGCUAGAGGCAAAUAAGGAAGUGGAGUGCUGAUCUUGAGCCUAAGAAUUUCCCCAUGCUGAGAACAAGUUCACAACAGAAGAGCAGAGCAGAGAGACCUAUCUCAAGUACAGGAUAGCUGCUCCAUCUACCCUUCCAUCAGCAGGACAGGGGUGUCCCUGUGUACCACUCUCCCAGCCAACACUUGUGCCCAGGAGGAGCUACAGAACAUCAAUGAAUACUGCUGAAUUAAAUGGAAUAAAGUCCAGUGUUGGUGUAACCAUUCUUUGUCCCAUCUCUCUUAUAGAUUCUAGCAGGAACUUGGCACACACUAAAGUGUACAGAUUAUUUUUUUAGCUUCUUAUUUUGAAAUGAUUUCAAACUUACAGAACAAUUACAAAAAUAGCACCGAAAAACUCCUCAUAUACCCUUUACUCAGAUUCUUAGUUCAUUUGGCCUCAUGUGCUUUACCAACUCCUUCCUAUUUUUUCCUGGACCAUGUGAGGGUUAGUUUCAGAUAUUAUCCCCCAUUACUUCUGAAUACUUCAGCACAUAUUUCCUAGUUCAAGGACAUUCUCUUAUACAAUCACUAACCAAUAAUGAUCAAAUUCAGAACAGUUAACAUUGAUAAAAUGUUUAUCUAAUAUACAGCCCAUAUUUAAUUUUUCCAAUAAUCCUAAUAAGAUCCUUCAUAGCAAUCUCCCUGCCCCAUGAUCCAGAUAUAAGCCAGGAUCAAUACUGGAAUAAAACAUUGCAUGUGUCUUCAGUUUUUUUUCAUCUAGA